rnacentral:rRNA from 1 species
AUUGAACGCUGGCGGCAGGCUUAACACAUGCAAGUCGAGCGAGCGGCGGACGGGUGCGUAAUGUCUGGGAAACUGCCUGAUGGAGGGGGAUAACUACUGGAAACGGUAGCUAAUACCGCAUACCAUCAGAUGUGCCCAGAUGGGAUUAGCUAGUAGGUGGGGUAAUGGCUCACCUAGGCGACGAUCCCUAGCUGGUCUGAGAGGAUGACCAGCCCCACUGGAAGUGAGCAACGGUCCAGACUCCUACUGGAGGCAGCAGGGGGGAAGAUUGGACAAUGGGCGCAAGCCUGUUGCAGCCAUGCCGCGUGUGUGAAGAAGGCCUGCGGGUUGUAAAGCGCUUUCAGCGAGGAGGCGUUACUCGCAGAAGAAGCACCGGAUAACUCCGUGCCAGCAGCCGCGGGAUUC